rnacentral:rRNA from 1 species
AACGAACGCUGGCGGCAGGCUUAACACAUGCAGGUCGAACGCAUCGCAAGAUGAGUGGCAGACGGGUGAGUAACGCGUGGGAACAUACCCUUUUCUACGGAAUAGCUCUGGGAAACUGGAAUUAAUACCGUAUACGCCCUACGGGGGAAAGAUUUAUCGGGGAAGGAUUGGCCCGCGUUGGAUUAGCUAGUUGGUGGGGUAAAGGCCUACCAAGGCGACGAUCCAUAGCUGGUCUGAGAGGAUGAUCAGCCACAUGGGGACUGAGACACGGCCCAAACUCCUACGGGAGGCAGCAGUGGGGAAUAUUGGACAAUGGGCGCAAGCCUGAUCCAGCCAUGCCGCGUGAGUGAUGAAGGCCUUAGGGUUGUAAAGCUCUUUCACCGAUGAAGAUAAUGACGGUAGUCGGAGAAGAAGCCCCGGCUAACUUCGUGCCAGCCGCCGCGGUAAUAC